AUGCGCACGAAGGACCCGUUCUUUCGUAGGGUCAAAUUCUUGGUUGGCAAUGGAAUGUCAACAAGAUUUUGGGAGGACACGUGGCUAGGAGAGACGCCCUUGGCCAUCCAAUAUCCUACACCCUAUAAUAUUGUGCAACGUAAGAAGGAUUACGUGGGUACCAUCCUUCAAACAAUUCCCUUGAACAUCCAAUUCAGACGUGUGUUAGUUGGUGAGAGAUGGACCGCUUGGAUGCACCUGGUUCGGAGAUUGAUAGAAGUUCAACUCUCCGAUCAGCCGGAUUCAAUACAAUGGAAAUUGACUACGAAUGGGAGGUUUACGGUGAAAUCUUUUUAUAUGGGUCUCAUUAACUCUGGCCCCCUAUCAAGGUCGCUGCAUAUUUGGAAAGUUAAGAUUCCUUUGCGUAUUAAAAUCUUCAUGUGGUUUGUUCACAAACAAGUGAUACUCACAAAGGACAACUUAAUUAAGAGGCGAUGGGUAGGCUCUUCGCGGUGCUGUUUUUGUGAUCAUGACGAAACCGUACAACACUUAUUUCUUGAAUGCCCACUUGCUAAGUUACUUUGGAGAACGAUUCAUAUAGCUUUUAAUAUUAAUCCUCCAGUUGAUAUUGCGUCUUUGUUUGGGAUGUGGUUAGCUGGGGUUGAUCAGAUUACUGCGGCUCGUAUUCGGAUUGGAAUAUGUGCGUUAUUAUGGGCUAUAUGGAAUUGCAAGAAUGAUAUGAUUUUUAACAGACAACACACUUUAACCUUUUUGCAGGUUAUCUUCAGAGCUACAACUUGGAUCCGUACGUGGUCCUUACUCACUCCUAUGGACUCCAGGGAGCCUUUGAUUACUGGGUGCAACCAAUGGGAGAUGGUAGCUCGGGUUAUCUUCAACCGGUUCGGAUGGCGCUCGCAUAACAGGAUAGGAGUCUAG
rnacentral:rRNA from 1 species